rnacentral:rRNA from 1 species
GAUGAACGCUGGCGGCGUGCUUAACACAUGCAAGUCGAACGGAAAGGCCCAAGCUUGCUUGGGUACUCGAGUGGCGAACGUGUGAGUAACACGUGGGUGAUCUGCCCUGCACUUCGGGAUAAGCCUGGGAAACUGGUUCUAAUACCGGCUUGGAGCACGACUUGGAUGUUGUGGUUGAAAGCUUUUUCGGUGUGGGAUGAGUUCGCGGCCUAUCAGCUUGUUGGUGGGGUAAUGGCGUACCAAGGCGUCGACGGGUAGCCGGCCUGAGAGGGUGUACGGCCACAUUGGGACUCAGAGACGGCCCAGACUCCUGCGGGAGGCAGCAGUGGGGAAUAUUGCACAAUGGGCGCAAGCCUGAUGCAGCGACGCCGCGUGGGGGAUGACGGCCUUCGGGUUGGAAACUCCUUUCGCUAGGGACGAAGCGUUUUUGUGACGGUACCAGGAGAAGAAGCACCGGCUAACUACGUG